rnacentral:rRNA from 1 species
GCCUCAGUAACGGCGAGUGAAGCGGCAACAGCUCAAAUUUGAAAUCUGGCCCUAGGCCCGAGUUGUAAUUUGCAGAGGAUGUUUCUGGCGAGGUGCCUUCCGAGUGCCCUGGAACGGGACGCCAUAGAGGGUGAGAGCCCCGUACGGUUGGUCGCUAAGCCUCUGUGAAACUCCUUCGACGAGUCGAGUAGUUUGGGAAUGCUGCUCUAAAUGGGAGGUAUACGUCUUCUAAAGCUAAAUACCGGCCAGAGACCGAUAGCGCACAAGUAGAGUGAUCGAAAGAUGAAAAGCACUUUGAAAAGAGGGUUAAACAGUACGUGAAAUUGUUGAAAGGGAAGCGCUCAUGACCAGACUUGGGCCGGUUGAUCAUCCGCCGUUCUCGGCGGUGCACUCUGCCGGCUCAGGCCAGCAUCAGUUUGGUCCGGGGGAUAAAGGUGUAGGGAAUGUGGCUCCCCCCGGGGAGUGUUAUAGCCCUGCGCGUAAUACCCUGGACUGGACUGAGGUUCGCGCAUCUGCAAGGAUGCUGGCGUAAUGGUUAUCAGUGACCCGUCUUGAAACACGGACCAAGGAGUCGUCUUCGUAUGCGAGUGUUCGGGUGUCAAACCCCUACGCGUAAUGAAAGUGAACGUANGAGAGAGCUUCGGCGCAUCUCCGACCGAUCCUGAUGUUCUCGGAUGGAUUUGAGUAAGAGCAUACGGGGCCGGACCCGAAAGAAGGUGAACUAUGCCUGUAUAGGGUGAAGCCAGAGGAAACUCUGGUGGAGGCUCGCAGCGGUUCUGACGUGCAAAUCGAUCGUCA